GCUUGUACGCGGAUGGAGGGAGCAGCUGCUGAUCUCUGACACAUCCCCCCCCCCCUCAGCACUGCCAUAUUGUACCGGGACACGUUUCAUGCCGAGAAAUAAGGUUGCAUGGGUCCGGUUACGGGAAUGACUCCAGACAAAAACGUAGAAACCCCCGGAGCAGAGAAAGUAGCAGGAUUAAGCCAGCUUGACACCAUGGGUAGUCUACCAGAAGAGGUUGGGGCAGACAGACCAAAGGCCUCGGCAGUGGAUUGCGGCCCUGCAGACGAAGAACUGACCAACUUGAACUGGCUUCACGAGAGCACAAACUUACUGAACAACUUCAGCCUUGGGAGCGAGGGUCUGGUAUCCAAUAACCCGCUAUAUGACAUUGAAGGUGACUGUUCCCCAACCGGUUGUCGAAACCCGGAAAAAUCCUCUGCCUCCUCCAAACCUCCAUAUUCAUUCAGCCUCUUAAUCUAUAUGGCUAUUGAGCACUCCCCCAACAAAUGCCUGCCAGUGAAAGAGAUCUACAGCUGGAUCCUCGACAGGUUUCCGUAUUUCGCCACUGCCCCAACUGGCUGGAAGAACUCGGUCAGACACAACCUGUCGCUAAAUAAAUGCUUUCGGAAAGUGGAACGCAGCCAUGGUAAAGUAAAUGGAAAGGGCUCUUUAUGGUGUGUUGAUCCAGAGUAUAAGCCGAAUCUUGUACAAGCCCUGAAGAAGCAGCCGUUUUCUGCAGCACUUGCAUUGUACACCCCUCCUGCCUCCCCAACCAGUGCGUCACCUCUUUGCUUGUCGUCUCCAUUGAAACAAACUCAAGGGCACUCAGUGAAAGAUUCUGAUAUUGAUGCCGCCACUGCGAUGAUGCUCUUAAACAGCUCCAUCAAGCAUGAAGCACUGGAUUACCAGAAACCUCAACCUCUCAAGGUAGUGUUACCUAAGAAACGCAAUUACACCAGCGCAUUCAAGCAUUGUACUUCUCUGACUCUACAAGAAAACGAUUCUGCCGUCAUCAACAUCGAUCCAAAGGAGGAUCACAACUACAGCGCGAGCGGCACCGACUCUCAACGAUGCGAAUCCCGAUCCAGCGUGUCUUCCUUGUCAUCGGUGGAUGAAGUCUAUGAGUUCAUCCCAAAGAACAGUCGAGCAGGAAGCGACGGCAGCGAAGGGUUUCACAGUGAGGACGAGACCGAUAUUGACUAUGAAGAAGAUGCACUUGGGGAUAGUGGCUAUGCUUCCCAACCCUGCGUGAAUUCCCCCGGCAAAGAUUUGCAAGGCAAGAAGCUCCGAAAAGAAGCAUGCCAAGAUAUUGACGACGAGCUCAAAGAGGCAGCCGGCUCACUGCUCCAUCUGGCUGGGAUUCGCACUUGUCUGGAUUCCCUUUUAAAAACUGCAAAAGCCCAGUCUCAGAAGCAUAGAAAAUAGUGAUCCUGCCAGUCUCACAAAUUCCUUUUUGCUUUUUCCUUUUUUUUUUUUCCCCUGCCUUCAUCCACUCAUUGUGGCAAUUUUCUUCAGAUUUUAUUUGUUCUUUAGGAGAUCAAAGCCAUAAAAGACUUGAGGCUUUUUUUUUUUUUUUUUAUUUAUUUCCUUCUUUAUUUUACCCAAGAUUACUGCCUUAGAUUGAAAAUUUUAAAACACUUUUCCAGAAAAUAGUGAUAUGCUUAUCUCUGGAAAAAAUAAGCUAUUUUUGUUUAUUUUUAUUUUUUCUAAGAAUUAUUAUUAUUUUUUUUGGUAUAAUGCAGAGGAUUCCUUGAAUUGCAACAUAAACUUCACCGAAAAGGCUGCUGAUGCAACACUGACUGCUGUAUGUGCUUUUAUUUUGGCCACUGUGCAACAAAGUGAUAAAAUCUUUCAGUAUUAGUGAUAAUUUUUGCCAACUAUUUCUAUGUAGAGUCGGUGAAAAGGUUUCAGCCUGUUAACCGCUCAGCGUUUGUCCUGUUUUAAGGUGACAUUAUCAUUUGCAUGCAUGAUACCAUGGUAGCGUUUAAAGUGAUACUUUACAUAGCUUGUGUUCUAGCUUAAGCAGCCUGUAGACAAACAUUAUGUACAUUUAUAAGCCCGUUAAGCAUCAUAUUAGUGGCUGCAAUUGAUAAAAACUCUGAUUUGGGUGCUUCCUUUAAACACAUUUAUACAUGUAAAUAAUACGUGAGAUAACGUUAUUUGCCUCUAGACUGUGUGUUUUAUUUUUCACUGCCCGUUACCUGUAAAUGGUUGCCUACUUCUCAUUUAAACAGCAAAAUGGCAUAAAAAAAAUUUGGGGACCCAGAAAUACUUGAUGUGCACUUAAUUAUAAUCAUCCCAGCAGAUAGGUCACAAUUAACAGGGGCUUGCUGCAUAUUGUUUUGAGUUCAGUGUAUCAACAGUAGGCAGUCAGCUACACAGCUCCCUCUAGAGGUGGCCACAGACGGCCGUCAUUGUAACAUUUAAUAAGAAUCUCAGCACUUUUGGCCAUGCUAAACUGCAGACAGCACAAUGCUGUGGAGGGCAGUACACCUUUUUGUGGAGCUUUUUCUUAUCAGGAGUAGUGUGAAUUGUGAACUUUUAUUCUGCCAGAUUUUCCUCUUGCAAAAUCUCAGGGUGAGGCCUCUCUGACGUGCUCUCUGCAUUGAGCUGCUCCCCCACCUGGUGCUGUCAGCGUGGUUAAAAGCACUGACACAGACUCCCUUUAACUGCUGCUCUGUUGGAGAAAUUCAGCAUCCCCAUCACUGCAUAUAUACAGUAUGAAAUUAAUCAGCACAGAAGUUUGGAUCUACAUGGGUUUAUGGUGGACAUUAAUUGUAAUCUUGGUUUGCACAUUUUAACAUUUGUUAAAGGGCAUCUGUCAGCAGAUCUGUAUCCAUGACACUGGCUGACCUGUUACAUGUGUGCUUGGCAGCUGAAGGCAUCUGUGUUGGGCCCAUGUUCAUAUGUGUCCGCAUUGCUGAGAAAAAUUAAGUGUUAAACGGUUUUGCCAGGAUUUUAAUAUUUAUGACCUAUCCUCAGGAUCAGCUGGAUAAAGGGGAGGGCAUGCUCUGUGCGAGCACAGCCUUCCCUUUGUUUACCUGUUUUCCACCGACAGCGCUGCGGCAAGCAGGUAUAACUACAAGCUGUCCUAUGCGGCUCGUUCCUAUAGACUUGAAUGAAAUGAAUGGGACAGCCUGUAAUUACACCGCUGUGAUGGCGAUCAGGUAAACAAGGGAAGGCUGCGUUCGCAUGGAGCGUGGCCUCCCCUUUAUCUAGCUGAUCGACCGGGGUGCCUGAGGAUAGGUUAUCAAUAUUAAAAUGGUGGAAAACCCUUUUAAUAUCUGUUAAUGAGUCCCUAGGAGUAAGGGGGACUUUACCAUUACACCUAGAGGCUCUGCUCUCUAACAACCACGUCCUCUGCGCUUUGUCAGAGUGAGGCAUGAUGGCGUUUACACUGCCUGACUGUCAAAGUGCAGAGAGAGCAGAACCUUUAGGUAUAAUGGCAACUGCAAUGUGUGCUCUGAAAAAUGUUGCAACUGGACUGACUGGUCACCAGUAAUGGAGAAGGUUUCUGUUGGCUGACACCAAUCAUUUGUCCCCAUAGACUUAAGACUGUUGCUUACUGUUUUAAUUGCUGUGUGUAUGGCCAGCUUAAAGUUAAAUGCUUCUCCUUUUAACACCAUUUUGUCUUUGGGGUUCCUGUACACUGCGUGGCUCGUGCAUAUAACCACUAAUUGCCAGGCUGCACCUGUACUUGCCGUGGCCGGAUGUGCAUCCCACGGCCUGGCUGCACAGUGUAAGGACGCGGUUAGGUCCAACUUCAUGUGCUGAUUUCAUUUUCUAAAAUACCAUGACACAACCAUAGAGUUGGAAUGAGAAAAUUCUUACUGCCUACAGCCACCACUAGGGGGAGCUUACGGAGUGCACAUAUAUUAUUCAGUUUAAUGUAUAAAUGAUAUGCUGUGAUUUCAUCACUAUAUCCAAUGCCACAGGCAAAUUGUGUCCCAUUGAUGUCAAUUAGACUUACUGUAGGUCAUACAGUGUGUGAUCUAACGCACGCACGCACAGGUAAAAAUAAGUGACAGUCUUCUUGACGUGUUCUAUAUGGAAAGCACAGUAGAUGGCCAGAUCCAUUAAAUAAACAUGGCGGCUGCAGAUGUACAGAAAGAGUCUGACUCCAAUUUCUUCCACAUAUUCCACUGCAAAUACACAUUGCCUUUUUACAAUGUGUAUUUCUACCGUAUGAACAUAACCUUCUAUAUUAUACAGAUUAUUUUUAAUUUUUUUUAUUUUAUAGUUAUCCUUUGAUAAUUUAUGAUCUGCACAGCCGUUAGUAAAAUGUUGCAUUUCUUCAGAUCACUCGCUUAGCUUCUUGUAUCCAGUCUGAGUUCCUUCAUGUGUCAAUGCACCCCUUUGCCCCCCAUAUAAUUUGUACAACUACUGAAUCCCAAUCCACUAUAGACGCAUACUUUUUUUUUUUUUCCUCUGAAUAAUGUCCAUGCUCCUGUGUACAGUGUAACGGUGAUUAUGCUGCUCACGUGUGAGCGGAUCCUCACAUGGUCACAGCAGUUACUUAUCACUCCUUCAUUAGCUCCUUAAUUAUAGCUUCAUUUUGCGAUGAAACCUUUUUGAAGGAACUGAAUCUGCAGGGACUUUUUACAGGUUACAGAACUGCUUGAUAAUUGCAAUGGAAUGUAACCAUAUUGUAAAGGAUCGUAUUUGGCUGCUGCACAUAAUGGACCUCGCAGAUCCGAGCAGUCUUGAAAGGGGGGAAGGAAUGGGAUUUCAGCUUUCAUUUACUCAAGUGCACUGGAAAACUAAAACGGGGAUUCUGCUUUACUGGUAUCGAUAAAGUCCAGCUCCUCCUCUCAGACUGUUUAGAUACAUGAGGGCCCCUUGCUAUGUGAUGGAGCCCACAAUUUUUUUUUUUUUUUUUUUUUUUUGUUAAUACCUGCCAGUGCCAUUAUUUGUUUUAUGACCUUACUUUGAUUGAGUAAAAGUGCUUACAUUAUGAGUAUUAUGUUGCCAUCCUUUAGUGAUAUGAGAAAAAAACAUGACCUUUGUGAUUGCCAAGUCAUUGUAUCUAUUAUUUAUUUAAGAAAUGUAUCAAAAUACAUUGAUCAAUGUGAAAUAUUUGUUUAAAUUAAUCUUACACUUAUUUUUGGUUAGUUGGAGAAAGUGUAUAGGUUUGUAUAGAUGAAACUGCCAGUAGAAAACCAAUGGACUCCUCCCUCAUAUUUUUUUUUUUUCGUCCCCAGACUUAACCCCACCCACCGUAAAAUAGUUUACAGAUGUUUAGUUUUUGUAUGCUAACCUCUGUUAAUGGAAAUGUUUAUAAAGUUUAUUUUUACCAAAGAUAUGCAAUUCAUUCUGAUAAAAGUAUUGCAAAAUAAACUUUUGUUUUAUAUCA